rnacentral:rRNA from 2 species
AGAGUUUGAUCCUGGCUCAGGAUGAACGCUGGCGGCGUGCUUAACACAUGCAAGUCGAGCGAAGCGGCUGAAUUGAUUCUUCGGAUGAUUUUCAGUUGACUGAGCGGCGGACGGGUGAGUAACGCGUGGGUGACCUGCCCCAUACCGGGGGAUAACAGCUGGAAACGGCUGCUAAUACCGCAUAAGCGCACAGAGCUGCAUGGCUCGGUGUGAAAAACUCCGGUGGUAUGGGAUGGGCCCGCGUCUGAUUAGGCAGUUGGCGGGGUAACGGCCCACCAAACCGACGAUCAGUAGCCGGCCUGAGAGGGCGACCGGCCACAUUGGGACUGAGACACGGCCCAAACUCCUACGGGAGGCAGCAGUGGGGAAUAUUGCACAAUGGGGGAAACCCUGAUGCAGCGACGCCGCGUGAGCGAAGAAGUAUUUCGGUAUGUAAAGCUCUAUCAGCAGGGAAGAUAAUGACGGUACCUGACUAAGAAGCCCCGGCUAACUACGUGCCAGCAGCCGCGGU